GGACUGCUCGGGGUUAGGCUGGGCAUCGGUCAGCGAGUGUUUCUACCCUGUAAGUGCCAAUCCCAAUCUGAAGCAAGAACUGCAUCCCAUCAGGAAUUCCAGCCUAUAGCCCAGCCAUUUGUAUGCUUCUCAUAUUCCCUGAAGUCCACAUAAGUCAUCUUGCUGAUACUAGCAGGAAGCUGGCUGAGUGAUUGGAAAUAAAAAUCUAUAUACACAAUCUUGCUGCAAAUGAAAACCUGUAUCCGAUGAACACCAAAUAAUGGAUUUUCAAACUAGCACUGAAAUGGAAAAGAUCUUUCUGGGUAAGACUUGUGUCUAGAUAAAAUGUAAAUUCAAUCACUCUGUGAAGUGAUUCUGAAUAAUCAGAAAUGCAUACAGCCAGUAAAAUACAUUACCAGAAUAACACAGAAAUGGAACAUGACAAUAUUUUCUUUUUCUGCUUGAGGAUAGAAGUAGACGGUUCUCCCAGAUAAUAAUCCUGUUUCAAGAGAAAACUGUUUACCUUAACAUAAAUAAAUAAAUAAGCGUGCUUCCAGUUUAAUCUGUUUCACUAGUUGGGUUGAUCUUUACCCUGGCUCAAAAUGGGAACAAUUACAUUGUAAAAACUAUCUUUUCAAACACGACUUCUCUGUGUACAUAUUCAGACUCAAGGUCUGUGUGGUGAAGAAUCCAUAGGACUGUAAUCAGCAGGACUAUUCCUGUUCUGACAGGCUCACUGUGUAGUCUUAGGUAAAUUAUCUUGCCAUUGGGUCACAUCUUCCACUCCAUCUUUUGUUCGUUUAUGCCUAAAUUGUCAAAAUAAUAACUUAGAGAGA